rnacentral:rRNA from 1 species
UACGGAGGGUGCAAGCGUUGUCCGGAUUUAUUGGGUUUAAAGGGUGCGUAGGCGGCCCGGUAAGUCAGUGGUGAAAGUCUCCAGCUCAACUGGAGAACUGCCAUUGAUACUGCCGGGCUUGAGUACAGACGAGGUUGGCGGAAUUGAUUGUGUAGCGGUGAAAUGCAUAGAUACAAUCAAGAACUCCGAUUGCGUAGGCAGCUAACUAGGCUGUAACUGACGCUGAGGCACGAAAGCGUGGGGAGCGAACAGG